GACGAACGCUGGCGGCGUGCUUUACACAUGCAAGUCGAACGGAAAGGCCCUGCUUUUGUGGGGUGCUCGAGUGGCGAACGGGUGAGUAACACGUGAGUAACCUGCCCUUGACUUUGGGAUAACUUCAGGAAACUGGGGCUAAUACCGGAUAGGAGCUCCUGCUGCAUGGUGGGGGUUGGAAAGUUUCGGCGGUUGGGGUUGGACUCGCGGCUUAUCAGCUUGUUGGUGGGGUAGUGGCUUACCAAGGCUUUGACGGGUAGCCGGCCUGAGAGGGUGACCAGCCACAUUGGGACUGAGAUACGGCCCAGACUCCUACGGGAGGCAGCAGUGGGGAAUAUUGCACAAUGGGCGGAAGCCUGAUGCAGCAACGCCGCGUGCGGGAUGACGGCCUUCGGGUUGUAAACCGCUUUCGCCUGUGACGAAGCGUGAGUGACGGUAAUGGGUAAAGAAGCACCGGCUAACUACGUG
rnacentral:rRNA from 1 species